AGUCCAUGGAGGCCGAAGAGUCCGUGAGAGCUGUGCAUUUUGGGAAAGAGACACAGAAAGAGAGAGGCAGAGACACAGGCAGAGGGAGAAGCAGGCCCCAUGCAGGGAGCCCGACGCGGGACUCGAUCCCAGCUGCAUGACUGGUUUUCUCUAGACGUGCCCUGCACCCAGCCUCCCCCCGCGGCCUCAGAGACUCCCCUGACAUCACAGUAGCUGUCAUCUAUCAAUCUCGUCUACACAGCAGGCAUUGCAUUUAGCACUUGACAUCUCACGCCUCGCCGAGUUCUCACCGCGCAGUCUUGAGAGGUAAGGACUUUGUUAUCUGCACCACGUUCCAGAUGAGGACACUGGGGCCCAAAGAAGGUCGGCGACCUGGCCUUGACCACAGAGCUAAGAAGCAGCAGAGGCAGGAUUUGAACCCACAACUCCAGAGGCACGUUCUUCACCACGAUGCCCGGCUCCUCCGUUUCUCAUGAGCUUUGAGCCUGCUGAGUGCUGGCCACUAGAUUGGGGGUUCCCACUGUCCCCCAGAGGCCCUCAGAACUUUCUGGAGCAUCUGCAGGAGGUCACCGUGGGGUUAAGGCAGGUUCUAUCUUCCCCGACUUCCCUGGGUGGGAGGUUCCCAGAAGUACAGGGCCAGCUCUACGGCCCCUUUUCCCCGUGAGGGGAGGGGAUGGUGUGAGUUGGGACACGUCCUCUUUGAACGUUCUCUCUUGCUGCUUCUGACCACUUCCUCUUUUCCCUGGGGCGGAGGCAGCUGUGGCGGCCCUGGUGGCAGCCAUCCCAGCAGUGGCUCAGGAGGCCUCUGAGUCUCUCCUGGAAGCGCUGGCCCGGCUGGGCUGAGGGCAUGUCUCCACCUGGACUUCCAUCCCCAAACCCCCCGCCCCCAGGCCCUCCCCUGAGUCCCAGAGAACGGAAGGGGUGCAGGGUGAGUGGGUUCCUGACUGAAAACACUGCCCCCGGGGCUGCCCACCCCCCAUUCGGGCUCCACCUGGCCUGAACCUGCUUCCAGUAACUUCCAUGGAGGACAUGGCCCAAGUUCAGGACUCCUGCCUGCACAGCCAGACUCCUCAGGAUGCCCAGGGAGGUGAGGCCCCCGGCUCUGGGUAGAAGCCCCAGCCUAGCCCUGGGCACCUCAAAGAUGAGUCCUCCAAGUGAGCAGAGGAGCUGUGGCCUGGGAAGAAGUUGGGCGUUGAGAAAUGUGGGUUCCAGGCCUGGCUCUGCCACCUGGUAGCUGGUGUGCUUGGCCAGGUUGCUUUGCCUCCUGGGUCUCAGUUUCCCCAUCCAUGCAAUGGGCACAAACCAUAACACUUCGAAAGGUUGCAAUAAAUAAAGGCCAUGC
rnacentral:lncRNA from 1 species